ACUCAUCAGAACUUCACAGUUAAGCGUGCUUGACUUGGGAUAGUAUUGGGAUGGGUGACCUUCUGGGAAGUUUCUCAGAAAUUGCGCAAG
rnacentral:rRNA from 1 species